rnacentral:rRNA from 4 species
UUUAUUGGAGAGUUUGAUCCUGGCUCAGGAUGAACGCUGGCGGCGUGCCUAAUACAUGCAAGUCGAGCGAAUGGAUUAAGAGC